AUAUCCAAUUGACAACAUUUCAUAUUUUUAAGUGCUACUUUUUAUUGUCUACAUCGAAAAAACGCACUAAUUUAAGGUACCCGUAUUUUUUUUAUUUUGCGUAAGUCCUAUAUUUUGGUCAUAAAAUCUAUUUAUAUUGUUACUUGAAACAAAAGGGCGUAUGUAACAAACGUCAUUUGUGAGAAUCGUGACGUCACGGAUCCGUUUCAUACACUGGAAAAAACGUUGAAUUAAUUUACGUUUGAGCAUAGACAACAGUGCGAGUCACAUAACUUCAAACGUUAAAAAUAAAAUCACAAAUUAACAAGUGUCACAAACUUCAAAACUCAAGUCAAACGAUUGGUUUUCAUCCCGUUUUCAAUAAUAUUUGUUUCUAGAAAUGCCUCGUAUUAAACAUUGUUUUUUCAAAACAUGCCAAAACAACACUGGUUUGUCGGCGAAAAAGAAGUUUUUUACUUCGUGAUAAUUCAGUGUCGUAAAUAAUAAAAUCACACAAGAAAAAUAUCCGAACAAUGUGAACUGUUAGUAAACCAUUGUCAAGUGUCACUGGUAGUGAAGUGACAAUGACAAUGACAAUGUCAACCCAAUCGGAAGUAAUUUCUUUGCUUGUAGUGGCAGAACUGAAGCAGCUGGGUGACGUCAAUUUCCGUUUUAACUAUUUUUAGAGAUUUUGAAUACAAAAAAUCGUAAAAAAUAUAUAAAA